rnacentral:rRNA from 1 species
GACGAACGCUGGCGGCGCGCCUAACACAUGCAAGUCGAACGGAGAUUUGUGGAAUGAUUCUUCGGAUGAAUGAAACGAAUCUUAGUGGCGAACGGGUGAGUAACGCGUGAGCAAUCUGCCUUAAAGAGGGGGACAACAGUUGGAAACGACUGCUAAUACCGCAUAAGCCCACACUACCGCAUGGUAGAGUGAGAAAAGAUUUUAUCGCUUUAAGAUGAGCUCGCGUCUGAUUAGCUAGUUGGUGGGGUAACGGCCUACCAAGGCAACGAUCAGUAGCCGGACUGAGAGGUUGAUCGGCCACAUUGGGACUGAGACACGGGCCCAGACUCCUACGGGAGGCAGCAGUGGGGAAUAUUGCACAAUGGAGGGAACUCUGAUGCAGCGACGCCGCGUGAGGGAAGAAGGGUAUUCGUAUUGUAAACCUCUGUCUUCGGGGACGAUAAUGACGGUACCCGAGGAGGAAGCCACGGCUAACUACGUG